rnacentral:rRNA from 1 species
GCCUACGGGGGGCUGCAGUCGAGAAUCUUCGGCAAUGGGCGAAAGCCUGACCGAGCGACGCCGCGUGCGGGAUGAAGGCCUUCGGGUUGUAAACCGCUGUUGUUGGGGAUGAAAUCUCUGGGGGUUCUCCCCCAGAGUUGACAGAUCCAAUGAGGAAGUCCGGGCUAAGUUCGUGCCAGCAGCCGCGGUAAUACGAACCGGACAAACGUUAUUCGGAUUCACUGGGCUUAAAGAGUGCGUAGGCGGUCUACCAAGUUGGGUGUGAAAUCCCUCGGCUCAACCGAGGAAUUGCGCUCAAAACUGGCAGACUCGAGGAAGGCAGGGGUAAGCGGAACUGAUGGUGGAGCGGUGAAAUGCGUUGAUAUCAUCAGGAACACCAGUGGCGAAGGCGGCUUACUGGGCCUUUUCUGACGCUGAGGCACGAAAGCUAGGGUAGCGAACGGGAUUAGAUACCCUAGUAGUCCCA